ACUCCGCACGGGUACCGAGAACUUUCCGGGAAUCGACGGGAUUUCUCUGGCUGUCGUUUGCGCUGCAUUUAUCCGAAUACAUCCAGCUCGCAGGCAUCCUGCAAGAAACGGCUCCCGGCUCGCGUGUACGCCGACACCUCGGCCCAACGCAGGACUCGAGGUGGUUUCUAGUGCCCGGGUGGCUGCAAGUCUGCCCUCCGAGGGAGGCUGGACAAGCGGCGCCCCCAGGUCGAGCGGCCUCUCGCUGCCUGGCAGUGCCUGGCAGCCCCCACCUCUGCCAGUGCUUCGGAAACCCGCCUGGCCAGGUUCGCCCGCGGUGAAAAAUGAAAGCAAAUUCCCCAACAGAGGUAGCCGGAACUUUCCUCGACGAAGGCUCCCUCCUGCGCCUGUGUCUGGAGAACCCCCAGAGCGCUGCAAGUUAGCAAGAGAGAUUCGAUGGCGGCUCUGGAAGGCGCACGAAGGGUGGGGCGGGGGAGCAAAGAGGCCACUGGGUGACCCAGCCUGGUCCGGGGUGAAACGCUAGAGAAGGCGCCUCGCCUUCCUUAUUUCAAUGCAACUCCUCGGCCCCAGACGGUAAAAAUAGUUUCCAAGCUGCCGCGGACGCCCAGGAUGUGUUUGCAGAGAUCAAACUGGGGAGGAGGCAGCUUUGUAAAAGUUGCAGAAAGAUUAGCCGAGAAGCGUCCGCCCGGCGGGGCUCAAGAAAGCUUGGGGACAGCUCCAUGUUCCUUGGGGCGGAAUGGCCCAAGAAUUGGCCUGGGUAACCCCCUGCCCAGUUCUCUGUCCUCACUUCGAGCCAGU
rnacentral:lncRNA from 1 species